UAAGGAAUAUUGCGCAAUGGGCGAAAGCCUGACGCAGCGACGCCGCGUGGGGGAUGAAGGUCUUCGGAUUGUAAACCCCUUUCGGGAGGGAAGAUGGAAUGGGGUAACCCAUUCGGACGGUACCUCCAGAAGCAGCCACGGCUAACUUCGUGCCAGCAGCCGCGGUAAUACGAAGGUGGCAAGCGUUAUUCGGAUUUACUGGGCGUACAGGGAGCGUAGGCGGUUCGGUAAGCCCUUUGUGAAAUCUCCAGGCUUAACCUGGAAAAGUCGGAGGGGACUACCGGGCUAGAGGACGGGAGAGGAGCGCGGAAUUCCCGGUGUAGCGGUGAAAUGCGUAGAGAUCGGGAGGAAGGCCGGUGGCGAAGGCGGCGCUCUGGAACGUUUCUGACGCUGAGGCUCGAAAGCGUGGGGAGCAAACAGGAUUAGAUACCCUAGUAGUCCCUGAGCGGGCUGGCAAGGCGCAU
rnacentral:rRNA from 1 species